GGACUACUGGGGUAUCUAAUCCCGUUUGCUCCCCUAGCUUUCGCGCCUCAGCGUCAGAAGAGGUCCAGCGCGCCGCUUUCGCCACCGGAGUUCCUGUAGAUAUCAACGCAUUUCACCGCUCCACCUACAGUUCCGCACGCCCCUACCUCCCUCGAGGCCGUCAGUAUCUAAGGCAGUUCCACGGUUGAGCCGCGGCAUUUCACCCCAGACUUGACAGCCCGCCUACGCGCCCUUUAAGCCCAGUGAUUCCGAACAACGUUCGCACGGUUCGUCUUACCGCGGCUGCUGGCAC
rnacentral:rRNA from 3 species